rnacentral:lncRNA from 1 species
UAAACUUCUAUAAGUCUCCAAGCGUCCACAGUGAAAAUUUUUUCAUUUCUAAAUUAUAUUUAUAAUUGUUAUCUAUAACUGUAGAAGUAAAGUUGUCUGGAAAUGUUUUUAUUUCAAAUUCUCUAAUCGAAUAACAUGAGUUUAAUGCUUUAAAAACCGUUUCAGUAUUUACAAACCAAUUUAUCAUUUUAUCACAUUAUCAGCAACUUAUCAUGCAAUGAUUUCUUCAUGAAUGGUUUGAUUAAUUUUUUUUUUCACUUAAUAGACCAAUAUCAGUAUUUUUGUGCCUCUUGGUCUUCCUCGUCUUUCAUAGCAGGCUGAAUUGUAAUUUUUUACAAAGUUUUAAAUUUUUUGUUAACAUUAAUCCAGCAACGGGUUAGUAAAUCAUGUGGAGGGUCCUGGAAAAGUUGUGAAAGACGAUCGUGAAGCAGAUAAGAAUGAAGAAGAAAAAGAUGGUGAUAAUAAUUUACGCCUUUUUCUGUUAUUGUUCUUCUAGUUUUAUUUCUUUUGCAGUUUUUUUUGUCUUUCAUACUGCUGUUGCUGCUACUACUUCUACAACUAUGAAGCCUUUGGCUGGUGACUUUUCGGUUAAUUUUUUUGAUUCGCUUGAUGAAAUGAUGUAUUCAGGUGCUGUGGUAUCAAUAUUUACCGUUUGAAAAAUCCGUUGCGUCUUGAAAUAAUAUUCUCUUCUCUAACGCUCCAAAUAUAAGUCUUCAUCAUAACGAUUGAAAUUAUUUAAUCCCUUGACAGCAAAUAUGUGUCUGUAAUAAUUAAUAAUAAUUAAAAUUAACCACUAGUGCGUAUCAGGUUUGCUCUUAAUCCUACAGUUAAUUUAUUUAUUUCUUUUUAAUAAACCCAACAGCUUUGAAGACGGGAAUAAGGGGGGGGGGCACUUAUAGUACAAAAAUUUAACAAGAUUUAAGAAAAAGAAUAAGAAUGUAAUUUUCACUUGAGUGGUUUGCGAACAGGCUCAUACAUCUACUUGUUCUCUCGCAAGCACAAUGAAAAUUUUCUGCUAUGAAUCGAGGACACGAUUUACAUCAUGCUGCAACCUAGAGCCAUGGAGAGGUUAAUGAACAACUUAAUCUAGGCGAGAAUAAUCAUCGAUGAAGACCCGGUGAGUGGUGGACCGACUGGUCCCUACAUUCAGUUUGAGCAGCUAAAAAUUUUCCAAAAGCACGUGAAGAAGCUGUUUGACAGUGAUAAGAUGUAUCAAUGGCUCUCAUGUUCUAGGUCUAGUCAAGUGUCUAAUAUCUACGCCUAAGUACGUAGAAAUUUAUCAAGCUUUUGGCUGCACGCCUCCUUGCGUUGGACACACUGCUGAUUCUCAACACUAAUGACAAAAAAUUGUCCAAAAUGCAGAGGGAUAUCAGGGUUUUGACUUCUAUCGGGAACAGGGAAUUUUUUUUUAGCUUUGAUGUAUUAGGGUAAAAGACCCCAUUAGUGGCGGGGAUCCCAUUACUGACACU